AGCUUUGCGCAGCGGCGGUAUCGUAGCCAGUGAAGUGUGAACUGAGGCGCGACUAUUGCUAGUUGAAAACUUUUCCCAAUACCUCGCGUUGACGACGUGAAAUACCGUCGGCAAUGGCAAUUUUUGGCAGCCUCCACGGAGG